rnacentral:rRNA from 1 species
GUGCCAGCCGCCGCGGUAAUACCGGCAGCACGAGUGAUGGCCGAUGUUAUUGGGCCUAAAGCGUUCGUAGCCCGCCGAUCAAGUCUGUCGGGAAAUCCACGCGCUCAACGUGUGGGCGUCCGGCAGGUACUGAUCGGCUUGGGGCCGGACGACCUGAGGGGUACGUCCGGGGUAGGAGUGAAAUCCUGUAAUCCCGGACGGACCGCCGGUGGCGAAAGCGCCUCAGGAGGACGGACCCGACGGUGAGGGACGAAAGCUAGGGUCACGAACCGGAUUAGAUACCCGAGUAGUCC